AUGGCCAUCGACCACGAGUCGCCCUUCAAGGAGCUCCGCCUCAAGAACAGGAGGAUCAUGGGAGGCGGCGCCCCCGAGCCGGACGAAGAGGAGGCGGAGGCGCAGGUGGCGGCGCCGGCGGCGGCGGGGGAGGAGGAGCAGUGGCCGCAGUGGCUGCGCCCGCUGCUGUCCGCGCGCUUCUUCGCGCAAUGCAAGACGCACACCGAGUCGCACCGCAGCGGCGAGUGCAACAUGUUCUGCCUCGACUGCGCCGCCGGCGCGGCCGCCGGCGCGGCGGCGCUGUGCUCGCUGUGCCUCGCGCACGCGCACCGCGGCCACCACACCAUCCAGAUCCGCCGCUCCUCCUACCACGACGUCAUCCGGGUGUCGGACAUCCAGCGCUUCAUGGACAUCGCCGGCGUGCAGACCUACGUCAUCAACAGCGCGCGCGUCGUCUUCCUCAACGAGCGCCCCCAGCAGAAGCAGCCCGGCAAGGCAGGCGGCGGCGGCGCCGGCAGCGCCAACCUCUGCGAGGUCUGCAGCCGCAGCCUGCUCGACAACUUCCGCUUCUGCUCCCUCGGCUGCAAGGUCACCGGCUGCUCCUCCGACGGGGGCGGCAACGACAAGGCGAGGACGAUGAUGCGGGCCAGCAGGCCCGGCCGCGCCAAGGGCUCGUCAGACUCGGAGGCGGCCUCCUCCUCCUCUCCCCUGCGCAAUGCCGGCAGGCAGAGCUUCACGCCGUCCACGCCGCCGCCGCCGCCGCCCCCAGCGGCCAAGCGGCGCAAGGGCAUCCCGCACCGGGCGCCGUUCGGCAACCUCAUCAUCGACUACUAG
rnacentral:rRNA from 1 species